ACCAACAUGGUUAGUGGGGAGUGAGAUUGAAAUACUUGCUUUUAGUCUAAGUUUAUUUUUAAUUUUUAAUUUUUGUUUUAAGUAAAGUAAGUUAUUAUUGUGAAAAAAGUAAUAAUUGUCUCACCCGAGGUUUUGCCUAGUAACCGGGCCAGUCCUGCCUAAUCAGCAGUGAUUCUCGCGUCAAACGGUAGAGUUUUGGCA
rnacentral:lncRNA from 1 species